rnacentral:rRNA from 1 species
GUCUAAGGCCAUACCACUCUGACCACACUCAAUCUCAUUUGAUCUUAGAAGUUAAGCAGGGUCAGGCCUGGUUAGUAGUUGAGGGGGAUAGCUGUGCUAGUGUGAUAGGUU